rnacentral:rRNA from 1 species
GACGAACGCUGGCGGCGUGCCUAAUACAUGCAAGUAGGACGCAGUUGCGAACGGGUGAGUAACGCGUAGGUAACUACCUAUUAGAGGGGGAUAACUAUUGGAAACGAUAGCUAAUACCGCAUAUUAGUAGAUGGACCUGCGUUGUAUUAGCUAGUAGAUAGGGUAAUGGGCUACCUAGGCAACGAGACAUAGCCGACCUGAGAGGGUGAUCGGCUAAAGUGAGAAUGUGACACGGCCCAGACUCCGACGGGAGGCGACAGUAGGGAUUCUGCGGCAAUGGGGGGAAGUCUGACCGAGCUACGCCGCGUGAGUGAAGAAGGUUUUCGGAUCGUAAAGCUCUGUUGUUAAGGAAGCGGUACUUAACCAGAGAGAGACGGCGAACUACGUGCCAGCAGCCGCGGUAAUUC